AUUGAACGCUGGCGGCAGGCCUAACACAUGCAAGUCGAGCGGAUGAAGGGAGCUUGCUCCUGGAUUCAGCGGCGGACGGGCGAGUAAUGCCUAGGAAUCUGCCUGGUAGUGGGGGAUAACGUCCGGAAACGGGCGCUAAUACCGCAUACGUCCUGAGGGAGAAAGUGGGGGAUCUUCGGACCUCACGCUAUCAGAUGAGCCUAGGUCGGAUUAGCUAGUUGGUGGGGUAAAGGCCUACCAAGGCGACGAUCCGUAACUGGUCUGAGAGGAUGAUCAGUCACACUGGAACUGAGACACGGUCCAGACUCCUGCGGGAGGCAGCAGUGGGGAAUAUUGGACAAUGGGCGAAAGCCUGAUCCAGCCAUGCCGCGUGUGUGAAGAAGGUCUUCGGAUUGUAAAGCACUUUAAGUUGGGAGGAAGGGCAGUAAGUUAAUACCUUGCUGUUUUGACGUUACCAACAGAAUAAGCACCGGCUAACUUCGUG
rnacentral:rRNA from 1 species